UUCCAGUCUCUCUGUGUCCUUCCUGGAUCUGACGCCUUACCCAGCAUCUCUGUCAACUCACACAAAUCUUAUGAUUGUGUGAAGAAAUGUGUCUCUGACCUGAAAAAGCCACUACAAAACUUGAUGAAAAAAAACAUGGUGAAGAUAUCUGGAGCAGUGAAAAAGGUUUACAUUGUUCCACUUCCUGAUCCCAAGACCAGAGAGUUCUUGAAAUAUUCCUGACAACUCACUUUGGAUCCAGACCCAGCCAAUGAGUACCUCUGGCUGUCUGAGGGGAACAGAAAGGGGAUAUGUAGAAAAGAGUCUCAGUCCUAUCCUACCAUCCAGACAGAUUUACCGACAUUGACCGGUGUUGUGUAGAGAGGGUCUGUCUGGAGCCUGCUACUGGGAAGUAGAGUGGAGCAGGGAGAGAGUUAAAGUAGCUGUCUCAUACAGAAGCAUCAGCAGGGAUGGAGAGGAAUAUGAGAGUGAUUUUCAAUGGAAUUAUCAGUUCUGGUGUUUGAACUGCAACCCACCCAUCCGCACUUUCUGGCACAAUCAAAACAUGACGGAUAUCCCUGUCCCCUGCCGCUCCAGAGUAGGAGUGUACCUGGACCACAGGGCAGGAACUCUGUCCUUUUAGUGUCUCUGACACAAUGACCCUCCUCCACAGAGUUCUGACCACAUUCACACAGCCCCUCCAUCCUGCGUUUGGGUUUUAUUAUGAUGAUUCAUCUGUGAGGAUACUGACACCUGUUCAAUGAUAAGCAUAUACAGUUUAGUUUAUUUAUUCACACAAAAAACAAGUGAAAGACAUACAGUGCAGGUGAAGUUGGAAACAAGGUAAAAAAGGUGUGCAGGUGACGUUGGAAACCAGAGGAUUUAUAUGAAAACCACAACAACAACAAAAAUAUGUAUAUGAAAACCACAAAAUUAUAUGUAACAAAACAGAUUUUUCAAUCAACAAAUAAGUAUAAGCAAAUGAAGUAUAAACAAAGUGUAAACAAAUUACUCAUACGUGCACUUCAAUGGUGGAGGGAAUGAUGGUGAAGUCUGAGAAGGUAGUAGUCAAUUAUACAUACUUGAUUAUUAAGUUGCUUGGCUGUUGCACUAUAACUGAAAUCUGUGUUUUGGGGACGUUAGAAAAUAUUUGUAAUGAAACUAAUACUGUAUGUUGAUUAUGUGCCUUCGUGAAGAUAACUGCUUGAUUGUAUUGUAUCAUGUUUGUGUUAAAUUAUGUAGAAUAAACUUGAAAUGGAGGUA